rnacentral:rRNA from 1 species
GAUGAACGCUGGCGGCGUGCUUAACACAUGCAAGUCGAACGGAAAGGCCACAGCUUGCUGUCGUACUCGAGUGGCGAACGUGUGAGUAACAAGUCGUGGCUCUGCCCUUUACUUCAGGAUCGGCUUGGGAAACUGGUUCUAAUACCGGCUAGGAAUCACAUGUGGGUGUGUGGUUGGGAUGCUUUUGCGGUAUGGGAUGGGCUCGCGGCCUAUCAGCUUGUUGGUGGGGUAAUGGCCUACCAAGGCGUCGACGGGUAGCCGGCCUGAGAGGGUGUACGGCCACAUUGGGACUGAGAUACGGCCCAGACUCCUACGGGAGGCAGCAGUGGGGAAUAUUGCACAAUGGGCGCAAGCCUGAUGCAGCGACGCCGCGUGGGGGAUGACGGCCUUCGGGUUGUAAACUCCUUUCGGCAGGGACGAAGCGAAAGUGACGGUACCUGGAUAAGAAGCACCGGCUAACUACGUG